rnacentral:lncRNA from 1 species
AAAUCGUUCCGCGUCAGCUGUUUGCAUGGUAUCUUUUUUUCAUGGUGCUGUAAAAGUUAUUACCAAAUUAGUAUGGCAAAUUAUACAGAGAAAAUUACUUUUUAUGACCCUGAAACGCACGAAAAGAUUAUUCUUCGUGUAACUGAAGAGACUGCUAGAAGGGCUAAAGAAGACCUCAAUUACAAAACCCAACUUGUUCAAGAGGUUACAACUGCAAACAGUACAAACAGAAUCAGCUGACGCGGAACGAUUUCACAGUAACAGCACAGCACCGGAAUUUCGAACGCGGACCGGACUGCUGUACCGCUGCUGGCGUUCCCUCUGGAACACACCCCCAUGCGAUAUGCAGUCGUAAACUAGCGCCGCCAUGCGGUUUUCGUUCCCAGUGUUUUAGAGUGAUCGCUUGCAUUCGCUCGCCUUCCUCCGAUUUGCCGACUAAGGGUGCGUUCCACCUAGCUUCGGGAAUGCGCCGUGGGAAUUGCGCAGUCGUCUGUCUGCGAUCUGCGAUUUGUUUAUUUUAAAUUGGUGCUACUGUUUAAAAACCAAGUGUAUGUCGGAAAUUCAAAUGACUGACGAAAAUCUUUGCCUGCAUCUUUGUAUGUCUCAAAUAAGAAGGCUAACAUGGAUAAAACUAAAGUCAAAAUAUCUGGCAUUGACCCAGCAAUAGAAACAUAAAUUUCUUUGUUGAACCAGAAGUUGCAGAAAAAGCAGCUAAAGAUCCUAUCUACAAAGAUAAAUUGGUGAAGAUGAUGAUUGAAUCAAUCAACAAAGAAAUCAAUACUUUGACAAUAAAAACGGUUGAACAAGUUGCACCUCUAAUAUUAAGUGACGGAGUGGAAAGAUAUACUUUAUACGUAUCACCAUCAGAUUGUGAGCGUGCAAAUAAGGAUACACUGUUCGCCACAAAAUUAUUAGUAAAUCACAAGAAAAGUCUAGAAGAUGGCUUGAAAAAAGUAAUUGGCACAAACUUUGUGCAAGAAGAUUUUACAUCAGUUGUAAGUGGGAGCAACUGGAAACUCUUAGAUAUUUAUGAUGUUGACACUGAUGAAACUUAUCGUUUGACGGUCUUCCUGAAGAUUAUCAGCGAGCUCAAAUUGAUAUGGGAUUUGCAACAAAACUUUUGCAGUCUUACAAAACAAUGUGCAAUCUGCCAUUAAAUGAAAAUAAUGCAAAUGCAUGUAAUAUUGUUGAUAAAGGACAGGUACAAGCUACGACAAUAUCAGGGGAAACAGCAACUAAACCAAAGAAACGAUUGACUUAUUAAAAAGGAAAUAUAAAGCAGUUAUAGAUCACAACGCAGAAACUGGAAAGGAUCCUAUAACUUGUCCAUAUUUUGAAGAAUUGCACAAGAUUUUCCAUAAAAAACUGUGAAUCAAACCCUUAUCGACAGCUGGCUCAGGUGUCAAUUUAGAUAUUGAUGAUGUCGAAGAGAAAUACAAUAAAUCAAAAAAGCCAAAACUUUCUGGGGGAGCUUUAAAAAAGUUCUUCGUAGAAAAAACACUGGAUAAUCAGAAGCGUCGUUUAGAGUUAGAUAGAGAAUACAAACAAGAGAAACUCAAAAUGCUCAGAAAAAUAAUAAACAGGAAUAAGAAUUGAAUUUUUCUACAUGAAUACUUUUUAAGCAUUAAGAGCUUACUUUAUAAAUACUGUUUUAGUUUGAUCAUUAGUAGUUUUAAGUUUGUGAGUACUGAAUUACUGAAUUAGAAGUACAAAACGUAAUUUUAAAAUAUUAUUUCAUUUUAUUUUAAAAUGUUACUAAGAGAAGUUGCUGCAAUUAACAGUAAAAAGGUCUAUUUCGAUUUACGGAAAAAUAUUUUGCAUUUAUAGUUUUAAGUUUGUACAACAUUUCUGUAUUGCAAAAAAAUUUACGUUUGUUAUUAAACAAAAAGAGAAAUAAAUAAAUAUUGAAUGUAGACAA